rnacentral:rRNA from 1 species
CACGUGGGAAUCUGCCUAGUAGUGGGGGACAACUUGUGGAAACGCAAGCUAAUACCGCAUACGCCCUAAGGGGGAAAGCGGGGGAUCUUCGGACCUCGCGCUAUUAGAUGAGCCCGCGUCAGAUUAGCUAGUUGGUGGGGUAAAGGCCUACCAAGGCGACGAUCUGUAGCUGGUCUGAGAGGAUGAUCAGCCACACUGGAACUGAGACACGGUCCAGACUCCUACGGGAGGCAGCAGUGGGGAAUAUUGCACAAUGGGCGCAAGCCUGAUGCAGCCAUGCCGUGUGUGUGAAGAAGGCUC